rnacentral:tRNA from 1 species
UGGGGGAUCGGCUAACCGGUAGGCCAGAUGACUCUGGAUCAUCCAGCGGAGGUUCGAAUCCUCCUCCCCCAGCCA